CGCGGAGUAGAGCAGUUUGGUAGCUCGUCGGGCUCAUAACCCGAAGGUCUUAGGUUCAAAUCCUAACUCCGCAA
rnacentral:tRNA from 1 species